rnacentral:rRNA from 1 species
UACGGAGGGAGCAAGCGUUGUUCGGAUUUACUGGGCGUAAAGGGCGCGUAGGCGGCCAGCACAAGUCAGUUGUGAAAUCUCCGAGCUUAACUCGGAAAGGUCAACUGAUACUGUGCGGCUAGAGUGCGGAAGGGGCAACUGGAAUUCUUGGUGUAGCGGUGAAAUGCGUAGAUAUCAAGAGGAACACCUGCGGCGAAGGCGGGUUGCUGGGCCGACACUGACGCUGAGGCGCGAAAGCCAGGGGAGCGAACGGG